CUUACUGUGUUUUCCGUGUGUGUCACAGGUUUUCAAGUCUCCAGGCAGAAAUGCCGGGCUGAGAAGUAUGGCUCUAAGGCAGGGAGGUAGGUCCUAACAGGAUGAGGGUGCUGUUAGCAGGGACAUGGGCCUCUGGAGCGAGGCGAGGCUCCCUUCUUUGGACAAGACUCAGGCCGGCUCAACUCUGCCUUGGGCCUCACAGUGACUGACGGGGGCUCAUUGUGAUGUGGCCUCAUGUCUGGUGCUCUGUGGGGACAGAACAGCCUGUGGGGGGGGCCUGCCACUGGCUGCAGAAAUGAAACCAGGCACGGCUGAGGCCGAAUGCAGCACUGGGCACGCGGAGAGGGAUUUCAAAACGCUCACCUUUCGCAAGCCCUGAUUCCAUUAAUUCUUUGAGUCUUCCAAGAAGUCCACAGAGCAGGCAAAUUUCUCUUGGAUAAAAACCCAUGAAACCAGUCAGCCAUCAACAUCUUAGUACGAACUAAUCUAUCAGAGAGAAACUGGAAGGCAGAAAACAAGAAGAAGGGAGACCCCUGGCAAGCUGCAUUUGCAGGUGGCUGGAGUACAGAAGGGGAGGUCUGGUCUGGAGAGUGAGUACCCAGGAGGCACCUCAAGGGAACUUAGUUAAAAUGUACAGGCUCACAGGAAAGUAUGGCCACGAGGGGCCCAAGAGACCACCAAGUCUAACACUCUUAUUCUGAAAAUAAGGAUGCGAAAGCCCAGGGGAGUUAAGUGGCUACUCCCACGCCACGCAGCUAGUUAGACAAACAGUCCAGCUCUUUUUUUUUUUUUUCUCACUAGAAUAAGCAGCCUCUUCCCCGUCAUGCUUUGCUUGGGGCCAGCCCCUCCUCCUCAUUGCUGGUUACUGGCCUCAAACUCCAAUCCGGACCCUCUCCUCAUCCUACAAGCCCCCUACGAGCCACAGAGGGCGGCAUUCUGCGACAGAGCAGGGAGCCUUCCUCUCCUGGGUGUGUUUCUUAGGUCCCCCUGAGGGGCAGGGCCACGAGCCACCACCUAUGGAAUCUAUACCUCUAGUUCAAAGCCAUUUACAAACCGAGGGCCAUGAAUUCUCAGGCUGAGGGUACCAAGACAACCCCAUUAGGCCACUGGACAGAGAGGCUAAGAAAGGCCCGUGAUGUCAUCACCUGCUGCCACCAUCAGAGUGUGCUCAUUAUGUGCUCAAAUGUGCACAGUGUCUCAUUGGCUGCGGGACAAAGCAGGUGCUGCCUCCAGGGGGCGGGCAGGGUGGGGCUGGAAGGUAGCUGCGGGCCCUCCAAGCUCUACCGCAGAGCCGCGACCUGUGUCUCAACAGCACCCUCAGAGAUCGCGUUCCUCAAAUGACUCAGAGCCCAGAAAGCAAGGUUUAGAAGAAUUUGUUUGAGGGUGUUUUCUUACACCAUGAAAACAUCUCUUGAGUAACCAUCAGAACAGACUUAAGAAAGAAAGAAAGAAAGAGAGAAAGAAUGAAAGAAAGAGAAAGAAAAGAAAAGAAAAGAAAAGAAAAAGAAAGGAAGGAAGGAAGGAAGGAAGGAAGGAAGGAAGGAAGGAAGGAAGGAAAACAUGUUUAGGAAAACCAAGUUCCAGAAUACAGAGGAAAAAAAUAAAAGUUCACACGAAGGAGAAGUUCAUUUCUGAGAAGUUUUGAAAACUGAAAUGAUCAACCUGUUUGAAUGCGGUCAGGCAGUUCUUUCAUUUGGCUGUUUGAACAGGAUGAGGAGGAGGGGGCGGCUAGAACAAAAGGGGACCAUGCGAACAAUGUUUUCUGCUCUGGUCCCUGGAUCUAAGCCCCUCAGGCUUACCAGACAAAAGUAACGGUCUCUAAGAUCUGAAGGUCUUUCUAGAUGGCAACAAAAAGUCAAUGUGAGGACCUGCCUGAAGUCUCCCAGGGAUCUGGGCAAGCAAGUAGGAGCUGGUGCCUUCCGGAAGCCAGAGGCUAUUCACAAGUAGCCUGCCUACAGCACGGGAAAGAGCCCAGAGAGGAGAAAAUGGACUGGGGUCCAGAGCCUGCCUCCUGGCCUGCCUCCAACGUUAACCAGAAGGGCACGUCGUGUCGCAGUACCUCUGCGCCGAGUUUCGCUGUCUGACAAGUGGCCAUAACCACAAGCCAGCCUGCUGGCCACCCAGGGGGGCCGAGAGGCCCGGGUGAGAAUGGGAGGCAAACGUCCCUUUUAAAAGCAACCAUAAACCAUGACAUUUUGUUUUUGGUAA